UACAGAGGGUGCAAGCGUUAAUCGGAAUUACUGGGCGUAAAGCGUGCGUAGACGGUUACAUAAGUCGGGUGUGAAAGCCCCGGGCUCAACCUGGGAAUUGCAUUCGAGACUGCGUAGCUAGGAUGCGGAAGAGGGAAGCGGAAUUUCCGGUGUAGCGGUGAAAUGCGUAGAUAUCGGAAGGAACACCAGUGGCGAAAGCGGCUUCCUGGUCCAGCAUCGACGUUCAGGCACGAAAGCUGGGGGAGCAAACAGG
rnacentral:rRNA from 1 species